rnacentral:rRNA from 1 species
AACGAACGCUGGCGGCAGGCUUAACACAUGCAAGUCGAACGCACCUUUCGGGGUGAGUGGCAGACGGGUGAGUAACGCGUGGGAAUCUACCCUUCUCUACGGAAUAGCUCCGGGAAACUGGAAUUAAUACCGUAUACGUCCUGAGGGAGAAAGAUUUAUCGGGGAAGGAUGAGCCCGCGUUGGAUUAGCUAGUUGGUGGGGUAAAGGCCUACCAAGGCGACGAUCCAUAGCUGGUCUAAGAGGAUGAUCAGCCACAUUGGGACUGAGACACGGCCCAAACUCCUACGGGAGGCAGCAGUGGGGAAUAUUGGACAAUGGGCGCAAGCCUGAUCCAGCCAUGCCGCGUGAGUGAUGAAGGCCCUAGGGUUGUAAAGCUCUUUCAGGGGGGACGAUAAUGACGGUACCCACAGAAGAAGCCCCGGCUAACUUCGUG